UGCAAACAUGGCUUCUCUCUUGGGCUAGCA
rnacentral:piRNA from 2 species